rnacentral:rRNA from 1 species
CCUACGGGGGGCAGCAGUGGGGAAUAUUGGACAAUGGGGGCAACCCUGAUCCAGCCAUGCCGCGUGUGUGAAGAAGGCCCUCGGGUUGUAAAGCACUUUCAGUGAGGAAGAACGCCUGGUGGUUAAUACCCAUCAGGAAAGACAUCACUCACAGAAGAAGCACCGUCUAACUCCGUGCCAGCAGCCGCGGUAAUACGGAGGGUGCGAGCGUUAAUCGGAAUUACUGGGCGUAAAGCGCGCGUAGGUGGCUUGAUAAGCCGGUUGUGAAAGCCCCGGGCUCAACCUGGGAACGGCAUCCGGAACUGUCAAGCUAGAGUGCAGGAGAGGAAGGUAGAAUUCCCGGUGUAGCGGUGAAAUGCGUAGAGAUCGGGAGGAAUACCAGUGGCGAAGGCGGCCUUCUGGACUGACACUGACACUGAGGUGCGAAAGCGUGGGUAGCAAACAGGAUUAGAUACCCGAGUAGUC